CUUGCCCAUUCCCUCCCCAUCUGACGAUAACGGAAAAAUUGCAAGGCCGUGCCAGAAUGAACACCAGAUAGAUAAGAUCCUUUAGGUGCUACAGAGAAAGCUCUGGGCAAGAACAAUGCUAGAGAUUAAUACAGCACGGCAACAGUUUUCUGGACAAUUUAUUGACAAUUCAAGAUGGGACCAGGAAGAAUGGAGUUAAAUGAAAAACAUUAGCAGAAAUUGUAUGUGG
rnacentral:lncRNA from 1 species